CAGUAGCCACGGUAAUACGUAGGUGGCAAGCGUUGUCCGGAAUUAUUGGGCGUAAAGGGCUCGCAGGCGGUUUCUUAAGUCUGAUGUGAAAGCCCCCGGCUCAACCGGGGAGGGUCAUUGGAAACUGGGAAACUUGAGUGCAGAAGAGGAGAGUGGAAUUCCACGUGUAGCGGUGAAAUGCGUAGAGAUGUGGAGGAACACCAGUGGCGAAGGCGACUCUCUGGUCUGUAACUGACGCUGAGGAGCGAAAGCGUGGGGAGCAAACAGGAUUAGAUACCCCUGUAGUCCCUGUCUCUUAUAC
rnacentral:rRNA from 1 species